UACGGAGGAUUCAAGCGUUAUCCGGAUUUAUUGGGUUUAAAGGGUGCGUAGGCGGUCUGAUAAGUUAGAGGUGAAAUCCCGGGGCUUAACUCCGGAAUUGCCUCUGAUACUGUUGGGCUAGAGAGUAGUUGCGGUAGGUGGAAUGUAUGGUGUAGCGGUGAAAUGCUUAGAGAUCAUACAGAACACCGAUUGCGAAGGCAGCUUACCAAACUAUAUCUGACGUUGAGGCACGAAAGCGUGGGGAGCAAACAGG
rnacentral:rRNA from 1 species